UUUAGUUUUUCAGUGGGCACAACAUCUUUGUAUGUGGUGCUGAGGAUCGAACCUGGGCCACACGCAUGCCAGGUGAGCGCGUUACCGCUUGAGCCACAUCCCCAACCCUCAAUGAAGUCUUUAAAAAGUGAAGAAUGAAAAUCUGCAGCUAAAAUUACACUAUAGUUCAUUUGCUUAAUGCAUUUUGUUAUUAAAACAACAGAUUGUAUAUAGAUUUAGCUUCAGUAUCAUUACAUAAUGUAGAACAGCAUGCUGAGAAAUGAUAAACUAUACUCUAUUAAUUUGUACUUUAUAAGACGUAACUCUUGUUAUAAAAACAAGACUGACUUUGAUUUUUUUAUAUCAGAAGGACAUUUUAGAUUCUGAAAAACACAGCUGUUAUCAAAUGUAUUGCUUUCCUUUUAGAUAAAUGUAAUAUAAUUAUGACUAUCGAAAAACCAUUUUGUUCAUUUCUCAAAAAGAGCUAGAUUUAUUGAAGUUUUCAUAUAUAUACAUACAUAUCAUUUUUUGCAGAGAUAGAAUUGAGGGGCACUCAACCACUGAGCCACAUCCAUAGCCCUAGUUUUGUAUUUUAUUUAGAGAUAGGGUGUCACCUUACCAAGUUACUUAUUGCCUUGCAGGUGCUGAGGCUGGAUUGUUUUCAUUUGUUUUAGUUGUAGAUGGACACAGUAUCUUUAUUUUUAUUUAUUUAUUUUUAUGUAGUGCUGAGGAUUUAACCCAGAACCUCAUGCAUGCAAGGCAAGCACUCUACGUCUGAGCUACAACCCUAGCCCCAUGAGGCUGACUUUGAACUCGAGAUCCUCCUGCCUCAGCCUCCAGUUAAGCUAGGAUUAAAGGCAUAUGCCACCAUACCUAGCUUAGGUUUAUAUUUAAUAGGCUUAAAUUUUAGAGCACUUUAGGUUUUAACUUUUAAUUAUUCUGAAAACUAUAAAGCCAUGAGAAGAUGUAGAAGAAACUUAAAUGACUUUUAUGUUCACAGAAUAAUUGUCAGUAUAAAUAUUUCUUCAUACACCUUUCCCAGACACACACACACACACACAUACACACACACAAAUGGCCCUUCUUUCAUCAUCAACAUCUCCCACCAGGGUGGUAUAAUCUUUUGAAUCAAUGAGCCAACUCUGACACAUCAUUAUCACUUAAUAUUCAUAGUUAGCAUGAGGGUUCAGUCUUGGUGAUUGUACAUUCAGUAGGUUUGGACAAUAUAUAAAUGUGUAUCAUUCAAUAGAGUGUCACACAGAAUAUUUUUAUGGCCUAAAAGUCCUCUGUGCUCUAUCUAUUCAUAUCUUCUGCCCCUCUGACUCCAGAAAGCUACUGAUCUUUUUACUGUCUUCCUAAUUCUGCAUUUUACAGAAUUUCAUGGAUUGGAAUCCAUUGCAUUCUUUUCAGAUUACUGUCUUUCACUUCAAAUAAGCAUUUAAGGUUUUUCCCACAUCUCCUCAUUUAUUUUUAAGGCUGAAUAAUAUUAUGUCAUAAAUGCACUGGUUCUUUUACCCACUCACAAAUUGAGGACAUCAUUUUUGAUUACAAGUUUUGGCAAUGAUAGAUUAAUCUGCUGUAAACAUUUGUGUGCAGGUUUUUAUGUUAAUGUAAGUUUUUAAUUCAAUUGGGUAUGCAGCAAGAAGGGCAAAUCAAGAUUGUAUGAUUAAUACACAUUUGAUUUUUUAAGAAAUGUCAAACUUUCUACCAGAAUUAUUUUAUACUUUUGUGUCUCUGAACACCAUGAAUGAGAGAGCACCUGGUACAUCUAACCCUUUCCAGCAUUUGACCUCCUCAGCAUUAGAUUUUCACCAUUCUGAUUCAUAUCCAGUGGUAUUUUAAUUUGCAAUUUGCUAAUGUCUUUUAUGUUGAGCAACUUUUCAUAUUCUUAUUUUCCAUCUAUAUAUCACAUCUGGUCAGAUGUCUGUACAGAUCUGACCAUUUUUAAAACUGUGUUGUUCAUUUAUUAUUAUUUAGAUUUAAGAUAAUUUAAAUAAUUUGAAUGAGUCUUUUAUGAGAUAUGCUUUGGAAAUAGUCCUCUCUGUCUCUGGCUUAUCUUUUAUUCUGUUUGACCUUAUCUUUCACAGGGCAGAAAUUUUGAUUUUAACUGAGUUCAACUUAAAUGAUUUUUCUCUUUUAUGAAUUUGGCCUUUGGUGUUUGUAUCUAAAAUGUUAUCUUGAAACACAAGGUUAUUUAUAUUUUCUCCUAGUUUAUCUAGAAUAUUUUAUCCUUUGUGAUUUACAUUUAUGCAUACAUUGUAUUUUGAGUUAAUUUUUGUAAGAGGUAUGAGAUGUGUGUAUAAUAAUUUUUUGAAAUUUAUAUGUUUAUUUUCUGUUUCCCCAGCACCAUUUGUUGAAGAGGCCAUCCUUUCUCCAAUGAAGAUUCUCUCUCCUUAGUUAAGAUUAGCUAUCUUGCUGUGAAUCUACUUCUGGGUGAUCCUUUGUUUGGAUUGUCUUUUCUUUAGUAAAUGCCAUACUAUCUUGAUGCUUGAAUCUUUAUGAGUCCUCAAUUGAUGGGGUUCCUUUCCUGUAUGUGUUAUUGUUUUCAAAUAUUAAGUGUGCAAUUCAGUGUCUUUGCUUUUCUGUAUAAGGUUUAGAACCAGCAUGUCAGUAACACAGUUUAAUUUUCUGAGAAUUUAAAAAUAUAAUAAUAAUAUUUUAAGUAAGAAUUACUUGACAAAUAGUAAUUGUUUAUAUAUAUAUAAUUUCUUUUUUGAUGGUGCUGGGGGCUGAACCUAGGGUUUUGUGCAUGCAAGUAAAGCAUUGUACUAACUAAGCUAUAUCCCCAGCCCCUAUAAUUGUUCAUAUUGAUGGAUAAAACUUUUUGAAAUUUUGUUUGGGAUUGCACUGAAUCUGUAGAUACAACUGGGAAAAACUGGCAUCUUAACAGUUCUGAGUUUUUCUU
rnacentral:lncRNA from 1 species